GGUGUGAAAUCCACGGGCUUAACUGUGGAACUGCCUUUGAAACUGUUCAGCUAGAGUAUGAUAUGAGGAGCUGGAAUUCCUGGUGUAGACGUGAAAUUGCUAGAUAUAUUAAGGAAUACCAAUGGCGAAGGCGGCUUUCUGGAUCAUUACUGACACUGAGGAACGAAAGCGUGGGUAGCGAACAGGAUUAGAUACCCUGGUAGUCCACGCCGUAAACGAUGAGUGCUAGACGUUGGAAAUUUAUUUUCAGUGUCGCAGAAAACCGAUAAACAGCCCGCCUGGGGAGUACGACCGCCAGGUUGAAACUCAAAUGAAUUGACGG
rnacentral:rRNA from 1 species